UUUUGCUAUGAAUUUUAUUGUUUUGGAAAUAGAGAUUUUCUUGAAAAAAUUUGUAGUUAAUCAAAAAAUAUCUAGAUGGCGUUAAGAGCUUCAUAAAGCUAUAAACAUUAGAUUGUUAUAUUGUGUAAAUCCUAAUGAUUAUUACAUUUUUUCACGUUUUAAUUGUUGUUAUUCAAAAGAAAUGAAACGACAAAAGUGUUAUCUAUUAGUGACUUCAACAAAAUUGCUUCCAAACUUGACCAAUUGAUGUCUAAAAGGAGAUUUUGUGGAUAAAUACAAAAAAUUGAAGCCAUCAGAAGUAACUAUAAUGUAUUGCCAGACUUGAAACCAUCUCUAUUUGGAUGACAAUUUAUUUGGUCAUUCUUAAACUAAUGGCGUACCAACGGAACCAAUUUUGAGUGGACAAUCAAAACGAUAAAGGUUUGGAUGAAAAGGAUUCAUUUUUCCUUAACUCACAACCAUCAACUAAUUUAUCAUGAAACAGUGAUAUAAUAAUGGCUAUAAAGAUGAUACAAUCUCUCGACAAGAAGUAAAAACAAAGGAAAAUAAAACCUCAUCUGAUCCAGAGUAAAGCUCUCCUGAUUUAUGUGGAUAAACUUUGCUUGUUUCAAAAUUGGAUUUUAUUAACACAAUUAGAGGAUGUAAAGAAGAGACACCCGAACUAAUGGCAAAUGAUAGAUUUACAAUUAUACCUCAACCAUUAUCUACUCCAAAGAUAAUCUAAUAAAUCAAUUAAACAGUAAUUAGUUGGAUACAAGUUGGAUACAACCUGGUAACACAGAGACAGCGAGACAACACUCAUAGACAUAUGUGAAAAGCAAGGCCUACAAAUAAUGGAGCCACCAUCAAUAAUAACGAUACAAGUAGCUGGAUAAGCAAACAAUCAAGAUUGAUUCAAUUUAAUGUUGGGUAAUUAAUUAAUUUAAUGAGGAAAAAAGAGAUUGAAGCAAAUCUUUUCCAAGUAAAUUAAUUAAUUCAAGAACCAGUAACCAGUCUUUACUGUAAACCCAAUGAACAUGCAGAUUAUUAUGAUGAUUGUCAGGCAAUCAUUACAAUAAACAGUAAGAGUGUGAAUGAGGUAAUAAUAAUAACUGCAAUCAA